AAGCCAGCCAAUCAAUGUGAUUAGGUGAAAGUGUUUCUGCAGAAAGUUUUAAAAAGCUGGCAAUAGUAAAGUCAUGUUAGGAGGCUGAAGGAAAUUAAAGUAAAGAUUCCUGAAAAUGGCUACAACA
ensembl:snoRNA